ensembl:lncRNA
GAUCCUGAGGCUACCAUACUGUGAGGAAACCUAAGCCACAAGAAGAGACCAUGUCAUCAGCAUUCCAGUUAACAGGCCCAACUAAACCCAACCUUCAAGCAUUCCCAGGCCAGCCACCAGACAUGUAUGUGACCUUCAGUGUACUUUCUUCCUUGAGAAUAUCCUUUAGAAAAGGAUUCUCAGCGUUAGAAUCCGGAGUGGAAAAGAUGCAAUUCUAGUUUUAGCCUCUGGGGCUUCCUCUAUCAAGGAAGGACUCGGCCCUCUUGGAGGCGAAGUCAGAGCCGCACGGGCUUUUGGCUGAACUCCUAC